UACGUAGGUUGCAAGCGUUAUCCGGAGUUACUGGGCGUAAAGUGUCCGUAGCCUGAUGUUUAAGUCUGUUUUCAAACAUUUCAGCUCAACUGAAAAAAGGGAAUAGAUACUGAAUAUCUAGAGGCAAUAAGGGGUUAGUGGAAUUUCCAGUGGAGCGGUGAAACGCGUUGAUAUUGGAAAGAAUGCCGAAAGCGAAAGCAGCUAACUAUUAUUGAUCUGACGGUGAGGGACGAAAGCUUGGGGAGCAAACGGG
rnacentral:rRNA from 1 species